UGACAGUACUCCUACGGGGAGGCAGCAGUGGGGGAAUAUUGCACAAUGGGCGCAAGCCUGAUGCAGCCAUGCCGCGUGUGUGAAGAAGGCCUUCGGGUUGUAAAGCACUUUCAGUCGUGAGGAAGGUAGUGUAGUUAAUAGCUGCAGUAUUUGACGUUAGCGACGGAAGAAGCACCGGCUAACUCCGUGCCAGCAGCCGCGGUAAUACGGAGGGUGCGAGCGUUAAUCGGAAUUACUGGGCGUAAAGCGCAUGCAGGUGGUUUGUUAAGUCAGAUGUGAAAGCCCGGGGCUCAACCUCGGAAUAGCAUUUGAAACUGGCAGACUAGAGUACUGUAGAGGGGGGUAGGAAUUUCAGGUGUAGCGGUGAAAUGCGUAGAGAUCUGAAGGAAUACCGGUGGCGAAGGCGGCCCCCUGGACAGAUACUGACACUCAGAUGCGAAAGCGUGGGGAGCAAACAGGAUUAGAUACCCUGGUAG
rnacentral:rRNA from 1 species